rnacentral:rRNA from 1 species
AAUUUAUAACAACGGUGGAAUAUGUGGUUUAAUUCGAUAAUCCACGCAAAAUCUUACCAAUAUAAACUUUUAAGUUUUUAUUUUUUUAAUAAAAAAUAUGAAAUAUUUUUAAUCGGUAUUGCAUGGCUGUCGUCAGUUCUUGUUGUGAAAUGUAAAAUUAAGUUUUAUAUUAGUUUGAACGUAAGCUUAUUUUUAAAUUAUUAAUAUUACAAUUAUUAAUAUUUAAAAUAUAAAUAUAGUUUUAAGUUGAAGUCAAGUCAAUAUGGUCCUUAUAUAUUGGGCUACACAUGUAUUACAAAGGUAAAAACAAUAAGUUACUAGAAUGUAAAUUGGAGUUAAUCUUUAAAAAUUACCUUAAUUCAGAUUAUUUUAUGUAACUCUAAAAUAUGAAGAUGGAAUCGUUAGUAAUUGUAUUUUAUUAUAGUAUAGUGAAUUUAAAUUUAAAUUUUGCACACACUGCCCAUCACGCUUGGAAAAUAUUUUAAUCCUUAGUAUUUUUAUUUUUUUGGUAUUAUUAUAUUUAUAUUUAAAAAUAAAAAUAUACAGAAUUAUUAUGUAAUUU